GUGGCAGUUCUGAGACCAAAGUUCUCUAUUUAUCCCCAGAAAAAGUACAGUGCAAACAGCAGCAGUGCAAACUUCCCCACACAUCCUCAAUCAGUUAAGAUCUUAAGGGGCCCCAGGGCAAAAGGAGGGUUCAGUAUCUGCAACUCAUUCAGUCUUCCUCUCCU
rnacentral:sRNA from 1 species